ACUUGAUAAAAAAUUUAUGGAGGGAAAAUACCUGAGUGUGAUGUGAGGCAAUACACUUGGAUGAUUCUUAAAGGAUUAUCUUGCAUACACAAAAAUGGAUAUGUUCACUGUGAUUUAAGCCUGAAAAUAUCCUAGAUUCUCCUUCUCAUGAAAGAUUGAGUCGGCUAAAGAUUGCAGAUUUGGGCCUGGCAAAGGAACUUGGAGAAUACGAUUCAAGAAAAUUCUAUACUUUUCGAGGAACUGCCUUGUACACGUCUCCUGAAUCUGUAGGGCUUGCUAAGAUAUCAUCGGCUUUGGAUAUUUGGUCUCUAGGUUGCGUUGUGAUUGAGAUGAUCACAAGAGAGCCACCAUGUAAAGAAUUGGGCAUACAAUAUUUAAUAAUUCGUUUGGCUUUUGAGAAUAGAUCGCCCGAGAUACCUGAAAGUGUGUCAAAGAAAGGGAAGGAUUUCCUAAACAUGUGUUUCAUGAGACCCCAUUGUGAGAGGUGGAUAGCUGACAUGCUCUUGAAUCAUCCUUUUAUUGUCGAAGAUGAGCUCACUUCACCAGUUGAUCAUCCUUUAAAAGAACUCCCACAAACAAGCCCGAGUAUAUUAUCUUCAUCGUCCUAUGAUUCACCUGGGUAAGGCCUUUUUUCUUCUGCAGAUAGACCGCUGAAUUUAGAUUCUACACAUAGGCGGCAGAACUUUGGUCCUAUAGGAAGGGGUUGCAUGGAAAGGAAAAAGAAUAUAUGCAUUUCUGCUGCAAAAUGAAGAUGGUUCUCUCACAAUUACUUAAAUUUGCGAAACCAAAGUGUGGGGAGAAGUCAUUACAGGACUUUAUAUUUGGCUGUUGCAACGAAGGUUAUCAAUUUAUUAGCUUUGGAGGCAGUGAAACCAAGAUGAGAUGAAGGCUUCUGUCAACUGGCUGUUAGAAAGCUCUGCAGUUGAGUCAUAAACUUCUUAAUGAAGGACUGAGAUGUUACUGUUUUAAACUAAUCAAUAUUUUAGUUAAUGCAAAGGCAACCCAAGCUGAGUAGAGGAGUUGAUAUUUAUGGUGCCUUGGGUUUCAAGGGAUUAGCGUGAGGAGCUGAGUUCUGAUUUCAUCUACAGUUGUUUUGUGUCUGUGAACUAAAAACUUGGUCUACAGUUGAAAGUUUGUUGGUCCAGAGUCUUGUUUAGAUUUUCCUGCAGUGGCAUGUGUGACAGAAUGUACAUUGACUUAUUCAUUCUGCUACAAUUAUACAUUUAUUCUAAA